rnacentral:rRNA from 1 species
AUUGAACGCUGGCGGCAUGCUUUACACAUGCAAGUCGAACGGCAGCGCGGGCUUCGGCCUGGCGGCGAGUGGCGAACGGGUGAGUAAUGCAUCGGAACGUGCCCAGUAGUGGGGGAUAGCCCGGCGAAAGCCGGAUUAAUACCGCAUACGACCUGAGGGUGAAAGCGGGGGACCGAAAGGCCUCGCGCUAUUGGAGCGGCCGAUGUCGGAUUAGCUAGUUGGUGGGGUAAAGGCUUACCAAGGCGACGAUCCGUAGCUGGUCUGAGAGGACGACCAGCCACACUGGGACUGGGACACGGCCCAGACUCCUACGAGAGGCAGCAGUGGGGAAUUUUGGACAAUGGGGGCAACCCGGAUCCAGCCAUGCCGCGUGCGGGAAGAAGGCCUUCGGGUUGUAAACCGCUUUUGUUCGGGAAGAAAGCCUCUGGGCUAAUACCCCGGGGGGAUGACGGUACCGGAAGAAUAAGCACCGGCUAACUACGUG